AUGUGCUUCCUAAGAAAAAGUGACUGGAUUUGUUCUGGGCUUCCUGUGGGAUUCUGGGAGAAAAAUGAAAAGGCUUUGCUGCUUUAUGAGGGUGCCCAGGAAGGCUCCAGCUGUGACAAAUUGCAGGGGAACCAUGAGACAUCCCCAUGGGAAGAGUCCCACGUGUCAGGAGGUGUUUGGAGGAGCUGCUGCUGGAUGGACUUCAACUUUGUCUUGAUGUGGAGGAGAGCAGGAAUGCUGUCAAUGCCAGGCAUCAGUCUUUCAGUUGCAGACUCCAGGCAUUAUUGGUUUGGGCCCAGUUCCCCCAAGUUCUUUUCAAACCAAGUGGCUGUGCUGAGGCGACCCUGUGGGCAGGAGCCUUGCUCUGCCACCCUCCCUCUUUGGCUGCAUGGCUCCCUGCAUGUGCCACCAGCCAAGCCUGCCGUGCCAAGCUGCCGUCUCCAGCCCCGUGCACAGGGCACCCUGUGAGCACCAGGCUCUGAGCGUGCUGCCUCACAGCCUGCAGUGCAGAGGUGGCCCCAGGGCACUUCCCAGGGAUUUCCCACCCACAGGUGCCACCACCCUUCCGGAAGGAAGCAGUCAGCCUUGUUUUGAGCAGCUGCCUUGCAAAUGCAUCCUCUAGCAUGCAGCUGUCUGAGCCAGGACAAAGCAAACUGUGGCCUCAAGGAGUGAAACACAGCAUUGAAAACUGACAGUGCUGCACACAGAGCAAGUGAUGCUCUCCACUAACUCCUGUGACAACCACCUUUCUGCUUAUCAGUCUUUGUCAGGAGCAGGAAUGAUCUCUAUGGUUUCUUCUCCUGCCUGGCGUUGCCUUUGCAUCUGCUGCAGAGCAGAAAUUCAAGGAGAUGGAUACAGACCUUGGUCUGCUUGGUAGAAAUACUUCUAGUGUUUUCAGGUUAGAUAAAGGUCUUUCACUAACAAAUCCUACCUGCUGACCCCAAAGCAUGUGAGAUCCUCUCAGAUAUUUUGCCAGCAUUCCUCGUACGUUUGUGUUGCUUCAAACAGGAAACAAUGCUCUUGGAAAAGCUUCUAGCAGCUCCAGAACGGGCGCCUGGAAACUCAGUGAGCUAGUGGCAAUGCAGAGCUCAGAAGUGCUCUUUCCACAUGUGCUACCUCUUGGAAGCCAAGGAGGGAUUCCUAGGGCCGGGAAGAGAGAGUGUAUGCCACCAUGUGGCAGCAGAUUCCCAAGUGUGGAGCUCAGGAGAGCUUCAGGCAGGCCCAGCUCAUAGCUCAGGCUGCAGGAGGGCCUGGCCCUCGCAGGCAGAACUUCAGCAAGGAGCUAUGACUUCUGUGCAUGGGCAGGGAGGUGCUGUACAGGCACCCUGUCCCAUCCCCAAAGGCACCAGCCACCCCCUCCAUGAAGGUAAGAUUUAUUCUGCAAUUGAGCAGCCCUGGAAUUUACCAUGGAAGACAAUAUUAAUCUGAGAAUUGUGUUCCAGCACCAAAGACCCAUUAUUCACAGUGACAGCCUGCAGAGCUGAAAAUAAACAAAGAACAAAGUCAAAUCA
rnacentral:lncRNA from 1 species